GAAUCCACCUCAUGCCUCCCGGAUUUUGGAAAUUUUUUUUCAAUGUUUAUGACCAAAUCAACAAAACCCUAGCUCAACACACAUUUCCCUAGCGUAGCCACACUUAUUCUAUUUUCAUUCCCCUCAUCUCUCUCUCGUUCCUUGCCUCCAGCUUCCUCCAUGUCCAUUUCUCCAUUCUUCUCCAUAACCCGCAUCCUUCUUUUCUAUUCCAAGCUUCAUAUUUGUGAGACCCUCCAUGUCCAUGCCUCCAAUUUCUCCCUCUUCUCUCUCUCGUCCCCUCUUCUCUCUCAAUCCUCCCUCUGGCUCCAACACCCAUCCUUAUGGCUACGAGCAUGCUGACCCUGCGGCAUCCUCUCUUCUCUCUCAAUCAAAAGGUAUUCAAUUUUAGGGAUUUAGGAAGAGUAACUUAGGGUUUUCUAGAUUUUGGGAUUUUGGGUUAUUAAUUUGUUGUUAGUGUAUAAAGAUAAAAAUUGAUUUGUUUUUAUUGGGAUUUUGGGUUAUUGAUUUGUUGUUAGUGUAUGAAGAUAAAAACUUUGGGUUAUUGCUUUGUGAGGGUCGUUGGGAAAUUCUUUGGGAUUUUCAGUUAUGGAGAUAAAAAUGGGUGGAGAUGCAUAGAGGUGUGUGCUGCAGAUUAUGUAUUGGUUUUAGAUUCAAUAGACGAACAGAGAGCAAAGAAAGUAUGGGUUGCCGAUCAUGCGUGGGGAUGCAGAUUAUGUAUCUGUGUUUGUUUCUUUCCAUCUGAUUCAAUCCAAGUUAUUUUAUUUUAUUUUUAUUGUGUUGGAUAAAAGAUUCAUGUUCUGACAAAAAAAAAAUUAGCUUUUCCCUUUUCGUAUUUUGCUACAUCAAUAACAGCCCACAAAUCCUGCAAACCCUAAAUGAAUAUAAUUGUUGUUGUGAUUUGUAGAUGAAGAUAAUGGUUUGAUCAGUACCAAUAUCCAGAUUUACCGGAAAAAAAAAAAAUCAUGGUAAAAACAGAAUUGGGCCGAAACCGAAUCGAAAAAAAACCGAAAAAAAAUUGAACCAAACCAAACCGAAUCGAAAUUUCGGUUUGGUUUCAGUUUCUGCAAAAAACCAAACCGUUUCAAACCGAACCCAACCCUAAAUCUAACUUCCAUCUUUUCUUUUUAUGUCCCCCCCCCCAAACCCCGAGACCUCUAUCUUCUUCAUCUCUCUCUAUGUACUCUUUCUCAGCUCUCCCGUACCUCUCUCUCAACCUCUCGCCUCAUUCUCUUUUCCUGGUCACGCUUAAACCUUGUCACCAUCAAGGGAGGCUCGCAACGAGCCUAGCACAUCUUCCAUGUGAGUUCGACGGCACAUGAGUAAACAGCUUCGACGAACCCUCCCCUUUUUCAAUUAGGUUUUGCCUCGGAAUCGAGUUGGGUUGAGCACACCUAUUUUUCGACGAACCCGUGAACAUCGAGGGAAUCUCCAGUCACCUCCGGCCGUGUCACGGUUAUUUGAGGGUAGCAAUCUCUUCCCCUCACUUUGCUCGUCAUUUUCGUACUUAGAUCAGGGUCUAGAACCUUUGUUUUCAGGUGACCAGAGCUGUAGCAGCUCCGGCCUUCUCAUUCGGCAAACCCAGGCCAUUCGGCAUUCUUUCACCCUCGGGCCUUAGCCGUUUUGGGCCAGCCCAGUACCCCAGCCCGCAUCCUUUUUAUUUUUAUUUAUUUGUUUUUAAAACCCAAAAGGCCACGAGCCUUAUACUGAAGGGCCUUGGGCCGGUUUCUGUUAAGGGCUUAAAGCCUUGCCCUUUCGUGAGGCCUUAAGGCCGGCUUAUGUGUGGUGUGUGUGUUGUGCAGCCCGUGUGUGUGUGUAUGUUUAGCGUGUGUGUGUGCGCGUGCGUGUAUAUGCAUGCCGUGCAUGUGUAUGUGUGUUUGUGGUGUGUGUGUUUGGGCUUAAGCCCAAACCACCAUUUUUCACCCUAAAACCCUUUUAACUCAAAAACCUUAGAAUUCUAAAACCCAUUAGACCCUAACACAUCCAACCCCAAAUCCCCUAUUUUAUUUAGUUCAAGCCUAAUCUUUUAGAAAAUCCUUUUAUUUAUUUAUUACAUUUUUGUGCUUAGGUAAAGUUGCUAGUGGAAAAAUUCUUAAUCCUUAUCCGCAUGACUCUUAUGCUAAGGAAUAUUUGUCUUAAAAAUGAGGACUACGAGACGACAUACGAGGCAUCCCCUACCAGUAGCAAUCUAUCACCCACUUGUAUGAUAUCUUGUAAUGAUCUUUCCUUUUUGUAAAUCUUGAAUUAGAUUGUGUUAUGUGCACUCUAGACGCUUCCUUAAACUUGUUUAUUACUCUGGA